rnacentral:rRNA from 1 species
AGACCCGAAACCCGGUGAUCUAGCCAUGGGCAGGUUGAAGGUUGGGUAACACUAACUGGAGGACCGAACCGACUAAUGUUGAAAAAUUAGCGGAUGACUUGUGGCUGGGGGUGAAAGGCCAAUCAAACCGGGAGAUAGCUGGUUCUCCCCGAAAGCUAUUUAGGUAGCGCCUCGUGAAUUCAUCUCCGGGGGUAGAGCACUGUUUCGGCAAGGGGGUCAUCCCGACUUACCAACCCGAUGCAAACUGCGAAUACCGGAGAAUGUUAUCACGGGAGACACACGGCGGGUGCUAACGUCCGUCGUGAAGAGGGAAACAACCCAGACCGCCAGCUAAGGUCCCAAAGUCAUGGUUAAGUGGGAAACGAUGUGGGAAGGCCCAGACAGCCAGGAUGUUGGCUUAGAAGCAGCCAUCAUUUAAAGAAAGCGUAAUAGCUCACUGGUCGAGUC